rnacentral:ncRNA from 1 species
GGCACAUGACCGGGGUGCCGGCGCCGCCAGUGAGCGUCCGGCUGAGAUAACACCCGUCGAACCUGAUCCGGUUUGCACCGGCGUAGGGAGUCCAACGUGUCUCGUC